UACGUAGGGUGCGAGCGUUGUCCGGAAUUAUUGGGCGUAAAGGGCUCGUAGGCGGUUUGUCACGUCGGGAGUGAAAACUCGGGGCUCAACCCCGAGCUUGCUUCCGAUACGGGCUAACUAGAGGUAUGCAGGGGAGAACGGAAUUCCUGGUGUAGCGGUGAAAUGCGCAGAUAUCAGGAGGAACACCGGUGGCGAAGGCGGUUCUCUGGGCAUUACCUGACGCUGAGGAGCGAAAGUGUGGGGAGCGAACAGGAUUAGAAACCCUUGUAGUCC
rnacentral:rRNA from 1 species